UACAGAGGGUGCACACGUUGUUCGGAAUCACUGGGCAUAAAGCGUACGUAGGCGGCUUCGCAAGUUUCGGAUGAAAUCCCACGGCUUACCCGUGGAACGGUCCGGCAUACUGCGGUGCUAGAGGAUGGUAGAGGAGAGCGGAACUCUUGGUGGAGCGGUGAAAUGCGUAGAUAUCAAGAGGAACACCGGUGGCGAAGGCGGCUCUCUGGUCCAUGUCUGACGCUGAGGUACGAAAGCUAGGGGAGCAGACGGG
rnacentral:rRNA from 1 species